rnacentral:lncRNA from 1 species
UCUUUAAGGCAAUGCCCCAGUAUGGCUACAGUCUAAUGGUUGAAGCAAUUAAAGUCAAAGGUAAAAGAUAUAUGAACCUGGUGGCAAUUGUUGGCAACAUAAAAGGGGAGAUAAUUUGAAGACCACUGUAUUUCACAGACAGGGAAGAGAAAAGAAAGAAAGAGAGAGAGAAAAGUUGCCACAAUUGUAGUGAAGUAAUUCCGGAAAAUGUUCUGGCUGACGAAUUAUUGACAACAACAUCAAUGUGGGACAAUUUCCUGAUCUUAUCAACGGUAGUUAAGGGAAAUUAUUGUUGCGAACACUGCCACUCUCUCUACAGAGUCCGAAUCUGGAGGAAUUUACCAAUUAUUGGGAACUGGAUUUGUGACAUUACUUUAGCUUUCCAUUUACUAUAAACUGUACAAUAAUAAACAGGAUUAUUUCAUCAUUGCUAAAGGUCUCAUGCCGUCACUGUUAAGUUGCUCACAUUCAUCAGAAACACCGAAAUAAUCUGAUUGUAUUUCACAGACUGACUCAUAUGUUUGGCCGAUCGACAACGCACGCAUGAAACCUUUAGGUGUGAGGAAAUAUUCUGUUUAGCAACACACAAUCAAAACAGACUGUACACACUUCUAACAUUGACAUGUAUUGAACAGUUUGCAAUUUUUCACAAAACACAAAACUGGUACCAUUUAUAUCGACAUAUAUAAUGUGUAUAUAUACAGGACAAAUUAUGUGCACACAAGAAGGUGAAAGGAGAGAACUUAACACAAAAUUCAGAGUAUAUGUUAUAUUAUGGGAAGCUGAAACCACCACAAAUUGUAACUCCAAUUUACUAGUUUCCAAUCUCUGGAAGAUUAUAACUGCUAGAACACACAAAACCAAUAUAUAUGUACAUACACUCACAUACAUAUAUACAUAUGCAUCUGACAGAAAAAUAUGAUUCAAAUAUUCAAAUGUAACGUGUAGAUUUUGUUUGAUUGGACAAUGGAAAAAUACCCAUCAUGCAUUGCUUUGUUAGAUCCUGUGCGGUUUAAAUAUGUUGAGAUGAGAACAAAAGUGAAUGGAGGGCGUGAGUUUUAUAUAAUGUACAGGAAUGGAAUAUGAAUAAAAUAAAAAUAAUCUUUAAUUUAAAAAAUCUUUAAAAA